rnacentral:tmRNA from 1 species
GGGGGCGACAGGCUUCGACAGGGGUUUGGACGACCGACGGAUGUCAUGCCGGGCUACUCUAUGCAGCUCGUUAAAAAGCGUAGGGAAAAAACAAUUGCCAACUCUAACGAGUUAGCUCUCGCAGCCUAAACAGCUAGCGAGCGUCUCCGCCGCAAGUUGCUCAUGCGCGCGGAUGGAGAUGUCACCUUAAGAUGAGCUGGCCCAACUUUUCGGUCCGUGAGGUUGGGCGAGACCAAGUCGGACUAGCUUUCAUCGAGGUCUUGUCGCUUCACUGACUCGAUGCUAAGCGAAAAUUGGUCGCUUGACGGCCAGAAAGAGAAGCGAAUAAGCAUGUAGAGUCUUUCGGCGGCUUCUCUUGGAUCCGAGUUCAAUUCUCGGCGCCUCCACCA